rnacentral:rRNA from 1 species
UACCAGCACCCCGAGUGGUUGGGACGAUUAUUGGGCCUAAAGCAUCCGUAGCCGGUCCUACAAGUCUUCCGGUAAAUCCGCCUGCUUAACAGAUGGGCUGCGGAAGAUACUAUAGGGCUAGGAGGCGGGAGAGGCAAGCGGUACUCAGUGGGUAGGGGUAAAAUCCUCUGAUCCAUUGAAGACCACCAGUGGCGAAGGCGGCUUGCCAGAACGCGCUCGACGGUGAGGGAUGAAAGCUGGGGGAGCAAACCGG